rnacentral:rRNA from 1 species
CUUAACACAUGCAAGUCGAGGGGCAGCAUGGUCUUAGCUUGCUAAGGCCGAUGGCGACCGGCGCACGGGUGAGUAACACGUAUCCAACCUGCCGUCUACUCUUGGACAGCCUUCUGAAAGGAAGAUUAAUACAAGAUGGCAUCAUGAGUCCACAUGUUCACAUGAUUAAAGGUAUUCCGGUAGACGAUGGGGAUGCGUUCCAUUAGAUAGUAGGCGGGGUAACGGCCCACCUAGUCUUCGAUGGAUAGGGGUUCUGAGAGGAAGGUCCCCCACAUUGGAACUGAGACACGGUCCAAACUCCUACGGGAGGCAGCAGUGAGGAAUAUUGGUCAAUGGGCGAGAGCCUGAACCAGCCAAGUAGCGUGAAGGAUGACUGCCCUAUGGGUUGUAAACUUCUUUUAUAAAGGAAUAAAGUCGGGUAUGCAUACCCGUUUGCAUGUACUUUAUGAAUAAGGAUCGGCUAACUCCGUGCCAGCAGCCGCGGUAAUACGGAGGAUCCGAGCGUUAUCCGGAUUUAUUGGGUUUAAAGGGAGCGUAGAUGGAUGUUUAAGUCAGUUGUGAAAGUUUGCGGCUCAACCGUAAAAUUGCAGUUGAUACUGGAUAUCUUGAGUGCAGUUGAGGCAGGCGGAAUUCGUGGUGUAGCGGUGAAAUGCUUAGAUAUCACGAAGAACUCCGAUUGCGAAGGCAGCCUGCUAAGCCGCAACUGACAUUGAGGCUCGAAAGUGUGGGUAUCAAACAGGAUUAGAUACCCUGGUAGUCCACACGGUAAACGAUGAAUACUCGCUGUUUGCGAUAUACAGCAAGCGGCCAAGCGAAAGCGUUAAGUAUUCCACCUGGGGAGUACGCCGGCAACGGUGAAACUCAAAGGAAUUGACGGGGGCCCGCACAAGCGGAGGAACAUGUGGUUUAAUUCGAUGAUACGCGAGGAACCUUACCCGGGCUUAAAUUGCAGAUGAAUUACGGUGAAAGCCGUAAGCCGCAAGGCAUCUGUGAAGGUGCUGCAUGGUUGUCGUCAGCUCGUGCCGUGAGGUGUCGGCUUAAGUGCCAUAACGAGCGCAACCCUUGUUGUCAGUUACUAACAGGUUCUGCUGAGGACUCUGACAAGACUGCCAUCGUAAGAUGUGAGGAAGGUGGGGAUGACGUCAAAUCAGCACGGCCCUUACGUCCGGGGCUACACACGUGUUACAAUGGGGGGUACAGAGGGCCGCUACCACGCGAGUGGAUGCCAAUCCCAAAAACCUCUCUCAGUUCGGACUGGAGUCUGCAACCCGACUCCACGAAGCUGGAUUCGCUAGUAAUCGCGCAUCAGCCACGGCGCGGUGAAUACGUUCCCGGGCCUUGUACACACCGCCCGUCAAGCCAUGGGAGCCGGGGGUACCUGAAGUGCGUAACCGCGAGGAGCGCCCUAGGGUAAAACUGGUGACUGGGGCUAAG